rnacentral:lncRNA from 1 species
AGAAGAUGGAAAGCCCUAGAGUUGAGGAGAGUUAUGACAAAAUGAGUGAAUUAAAAGCGUUUGAUGAUACUAAGGCCGGUGUUAAAGGACUUGUUGAUUCUGGAAUUACUAAAGUACCUCAAAUAUUCGUUCUACCGCCAAAAGACAGGGCUAAAAAAUGUGAAACACAUUUCGUUUUUCCAGUGAUAGACCUUCAAGGUAUCGAUGAGGAUCCGAUUAAGCAUAAGGAGAUAGUGGACAAAGUUCGAGAUGCAUCGGAGAAAUGGGGUUUUUUCCAAGUGGUUAAUCAUGGGAUUCCAACAUCCGUCUUGGACAGAACGUUGCAAGGAACACGACAGUUCUUUGAGCAAGAUAACGAGGUUAAGAAACAGUAUUACACUCGAGAUACUGCGAAAAAAGUGGUUUAUACUAGCAAUCUUGAUUUGUAUAAAUCUUCUGUUCCAGCUGCAAGUUGGAGAGACACGAUUUUCUGUUACAUGGCUCCGAAUCCUCCCAGUCUACAAGAAUUUCCAACUCCAUGCGGGUAAGUAUUUUCAUUUCUUAGUCUGGAGAUUCUUUAGUAGCUCAGUGGCAGAGGCGGACCCUCCGCCGGGUGCUCGAGCACCCAUUAAUUUCGUUACGGAAUAUAUAUAUAUCUACGUAGAAAUUAAUAUGUAUUUGUAUAAAAUUAACAUAGAGCACCCAAUGAAUAAACGAUUUAGUUGGCCCAAUGGCUCCUGGAUGAAUACUCUGUUAACACAUAUUUUUUAUAUUUUCAGUUUAAAUUUCUAGAUCCGCCACUGCUCAGUUGAUUGACUAUCUAAAGACAGCAAAAAUUCCUAGAUCUGUCGCUGCUCAGUUGAUUGAGUAUCUAAAUACAGCAAAUUCUUAGAUCCGCCAUUGCUUAGUUGAUUGACUAUCUAAAGACGUCUGAUUUUAUAUAAAAAUAUGUCAUGUUUCAAUGCAGGGAGUCAUUAAUAGACUUCUCCAAGGAUGUGAAGAAACUGGGAUUCACUUUACUUGAAUUAUUGUCUGAAGGUCUCGGUCUCGAUCGUAGUUAUCUCAAAGAUUAUAUGGAUUGUUUUCAUCUUUUCUGUUCUUGCAACUACUACCCACCAUGUCCUCAGCCAGAACUCACCAUGGGCACCAUUCAACAUACCGAUAUUGGUUUUGUAACGAUCCUUCUACAAGAUGAUAUGGGAGGGCUCCAAGUUCUUCACCAGAAUCAUUGGGUUGAUGUUCCUCCUACACCCGGUUCUCUAGUGGUGAAUAUUGGAGAUUUUCUGCAGGUUAGUAGUCGAUAUUAUAUACAAAGUUUAUCGCGCAACACAUUUAGAAAAUCUUUUUUUUAAUUAUUUUUUGCAGCUCUUGUCAAAUGACAAGUACUUAAGUGUCGAGCACAGAGCAAUCUCAAACAAUGUUGGAUCAAGAAUGUCAAUCACGUGCUUCUUCGGUGAAAGUCCAUAUCAAUCUUCCAAGCUUUAUGGACCGAUAACUGAAUUGUUAUCAGAAGAUAAUCCUCCAAAAUAUCGCGCAACCACAGUGAAAGACCACACUAGUUACCUCCAUAACAGAGGCCUAGAUGGAACUUCUGCAUUGUCCCGUUACAAGAUCUAAGAAUAAGAAUAAUAAUGUUAUCUAUUAUUACUAUUUAUACUUCUGCAGAUUGUACCUUUGAAUUUGAAGCAAAUGUUUGAGUU